AGAAUUAUAACAUUGGUUGGUCUCGAAGAGUCAUGCAGCAGACACACGUGUUCAAGGUCCACGCUUCACCUUUGCUCUUACAAUUCCUUUCGACACACCAUUUCAAGGUAACCUUGCUCUCAUCUAAAUAUGANNNNNNNNNNAAGAAUGAUAACAUGGUUGGUCUCGAAGAGUCAUGCAGCAGAUGCACCUGUGCAAGGUCCACGCUUCACCUUUACUCUUACAAUCCCUUUCGACACACCAUUUCAAGGUAACCUUGCUCUCAUCUAAAUAUGAGACGGGCGAAGUCACAUUGGCAUGGCUAUCUUCAUCGGUGCAUUCGGGCUCGGAACAGC
rnacentral:lncRNA from 1 species